UAAGGAAUAUUGCGCAAUGGGCGACAGCCUGACGCAGCGACGCCGCGUGGGGGAUGAAGGUCUUCGGAUUGUAAACCCCUUUCGGGAGGGAAGAGGGAAUGGGGCAACCCAUUCGGACGGUACCUCCAGAAGCAGCCACGGCUAACUUCGUGCCAGCAGCCGCGGUAAUACGAAGGUGGCAAGCGUUGUUCGGAUUCACUGGGCGUACAGGGAGCGUAGGCGGUUGGGUAAGCCCUCCGUGAAAUCUCCGGGCCUAACCCGGAAAGGGCAGAGGGGACUGCUUGGCUUGAGGACGGGAGAGGAGCGCGGAAUUCCCGGUGUAGCGGUGAAAUGCGUAGAGAUCGGGAGGAAGGCCGGUGGCGAAGGCGGCGCUCUGGAACGUUUC
rnacentral:rRNA from 1 species